ACAAGCUUAAAAUAAUGUGAACACCAAAGCAUAUUUAAUAUAUAUGGUAUAGAUAAAAGAAGACAAAAGCAGCACAAAAUGUAAAAUCAAUAUAAAUACCAAAUCUCAGGUAGAAACUUUUUAUUUUCAUGCAAAUGGAUAUUGUAGUUCACAACACCUCAAUGUGAUAAGACUGAACACUUUAAUAAUAUGCUGUCAACAGCAUCCCAUAUACUGACAUACAAACACAUUGAACAAAAUGCUGACAACAGCAUCACAUUUACAGACAGAUGAACAUCAAUGAACAAUAUGCUGACAACAGCAUC